UGCGGUUAUACAAAAAUUAAAUUGAAUUUUUUUAGUAAUUAAUUAAUAAUAAAUAUAAAUUUACAUUAAAAAUUGAAUUAUUAAGUGAAAUUUUAAUUUAAUUAAAAGUUAUUUUUUAUGAUUUAAUAGGUUUUAUAAAAAACUAGGAUUAGAUACCCUAUUAUUAAAAUUUAAAUUUAUAAUACUUAAAUAGUAAAUAAUUUUUUUAUUGAAACUUAAAUAAUUUGGCGGUAUUUUAGUUCAUUUAGAGGAACCUGUCUAAUAAUUGAUAAUCCACGAUUAAAUUUACUUAAUUUAUAAUUUUGUAUAUCGUUGUUAUAAAAAUAUUUUUUAAUAAUAAUAAUAUUUAAAAAUUUUAAAAUAAAAAUUAAAUCAGAUCAAGAUGCAGAUUAUAAUUAAGAAUAUGAUGGGUUACAAUAAAUUUAUUUAAAUGAAUUUAAAUUUGGAAAAAUUUAUUGAAGGUGGAUUUAAAUGUAAUUUUAUUUAAUAAAAUAAUAUGAUUAAAAAUUAAAAUAUGUACAUAUUGCCCGUCACUUUCAUUAAUAAAUUGAAAUAAGUCGUAACAAAGUAGAGGUACUGGAAAGUGUUUCUAGAAAGAA
rnacentral:rRNA from 1 species